rnacentral:rRNA from 1 species
CGUUGGUGAACCAGCGGAGGGAUCAUUAGCGAGUUAAUUACAAACUCCAAACCCAUGUGAACAUACCUACUGUUGCCUCGGCAGGCCGUGCUGCGCGGCUGGAUCGCCCACCCCCCGCGUGGGUAGCUACCCUGGAGUAGCUACCCUGUAGCGGGAGCGGCCCGCCCCGCGGCGCGCCAAACAGGCCUGCCGAAGGACCCCUAAACUCUGUUUUGCACCUGUAUCUCUGAGUUUAUUAUACAAAUAAGUUAAAACUUUCAACAACGGAUCUCUUGGUUCUGGCAUCGAUGAAGAACGCAGCGAAAUGCGAUAAGUAAUGUGAAUUGCAGAAUUCAGUGAAUCAUCGAAUCUUUGAACGCACAUUGCGCCUAAUAGUAUUCUGUUAGGCAUGCCUGUUCGAGCGUCAUUUCAACCCCCAAGCCCUAUUUGCUUGACGUUGGGAGUUUACGGAGACGUAAUUCCUCAAAUAUAGUGGCGGAGCUAGGUCGUGCUCUAAGCGUAGUAACCAAAUUCUCGCUUCUGAAGCCGGCCCGGGUCCUGCCGUAAAACCCCCUAUA